rnacentral:tRNA from 1 species
GGCCGCUUGGUCUAGUAGUAUGAUUCCUGUUUUGGGACUAAAGCCCUGCUUACGUAAGCAAUUACAGGAGGUCGUGGGUUCAAUUCCCACAGCGGCCC